CACAUUCAGAGAGGCCUCGCUGCUCUUCCAUUCUUUUCUGACAUUGUUGCCAUGGAUACAACAACAAACACGUCCAUAAACUCCACAGCCACAUUUUCCUGCUCCCACAGCAGCCAGCCUCUCAACAACAAAAGGGACAAGGAGUGUGUGUGAUUCUGCAAGGCAAGCUCCUCUUCCAGCACCUUUCCAACACCAUCCGAAUGACUGAGUUCCUUUUUCUGAAAUAUGUAGUUUUAUUGGCAGGGAUGCCUAUUGCAUCUGGAGCUGCAGGCAGGGUGGCUGUAGGAGUCAAUACAAGCACUACAGAGACAUCAGAUGGACUGGGGCAGAAAAACGACUCCUAUCUGCAACGAUAUCAGGAAUACAGAAAAAGACAGAAAAACAAAACUGACUUUGUGCAGAACAGGCAGGACAAUAAAGUUCCAGGUAACAAUGAGAAUAAAGAGUUCAAAGAGGCGGGUCCACAACAAAACAUCAGAGAAGAGAAUCACACCAUACAAAAACCCAGUGGAGAGCCAUCCAAAAAGUCUCAGCUGUGCCUUCUCCUUUAA
rnacentral:lncRNA from 1 species